rnacentral:rRNA from 1 species
CCCUUAGAUGUCCGGGGCCGCACGCGCGCUACACUGAAGGAAUCAGCGUGGCUUUCUCCCUGACCCGAAAGGGUUGGGAAACCCGUUGAAUCUCCUUCGUGAUAGGGAUUGGGGCUUGAAAUUGUUCCCCAUGAACGAGGAAUUCCCAGUAAGCGCGAGUCAUAAGCUCGCGUUGAUUACGUCCCUGCCCUUUGUACACACCGCCCGUCGCUACUACCGAUUGAACGGUUUAGUGAGGGCCUCGGAUUGGUCUCGGCCCACUCUUCACCGGGCGGCGCCGUUGGUCGAGAAGACGCUCGAACUUGAUCGUUUAGAGGAAGUAAAAGUCGUAACA